ACGACACAAAACCCGGUGGCGGCGUGGCGCUGUCAUUUUCUUCCAGAUUCUACUCUUUUUCUUCCAGCCUACUUUCUUAUCAAAGUUAUCGACUUUUGCAUAUGCACUAAUUACAAUUAAUAUCUCGAUCGUCGAGGAUGGCGAUCUUCAUCUCUCAAUUUCUUAGUGAAUUCAUACGUCACCGUUGACAAAUCCUACUGGUCUUCUGUGAUGAUUUUCUUAAAAAUAUGGAGUAGGUUAUUAUUGUUUCAAUUUGAAAAAGCGUUGCUCCGUACAAAUGCAGCAGAGCGUGCAGAUAAGAUUAAUUUCACUUUGCUCGUUAUCGCCAAAUCCAUAUCCCAAGGAUAGCAUAGCAUCCUAAACUUCUUCAGCAGUGAUGUCAUCUGGUGGGGCUGCGACAGUUACCAUGUACCGUUCAACAUGACUAGCAGGGCCUUCCAUGGGAUACCCAAAAUUCUGCGGAACACUCCUUGCUCGAAUUGCUGAGAAUUGGUACUCCACAAUUUUGAGCCACAUAUAGCUUAAUAUCCCCAGAAACAUAAUGAUCACUGAAACACAUAAAAUGUACACGCCUACAAGAUCCAUCACUCUAUUGCUCUCUGCCUUCAACUGGAGGAAUAUGGUAGUGUGAGUGCUCGACUUUUAUAGACGUUGCAAUAGCAUCAGAUCCGGUGAAUUCAAUAGAUAUUGUGAAUCCCUUGUAGAUUGUAAUCUCAUUUUCCGAUGAAACUGAAGACGUCAUAAAUUCGCCUGUGGAAGCAGGCAUUAUCUUAGUCUGGAUGUCAUCUCCGUGAAUUUAGGUAAUCAGAUUUGAUAUGAGAUGAGUAAUAAUCGUGCGGAUUGAAUGACCAUUUCAUGAAAACGCCCUAAAAGAAUAUUUUACUUUCUUGCAUAGUCAGGCAAAAUGGUUGAAUGUAAUUUCUUUUUGCUUACUUUUUAAGGAAUGAACUGCAAGUAUACCAGGGGUUAGUACUCUAAUGUAGACAAAUUGCCUUUCCUCUCGGAAACAUAUAUGUGAAUGUCCGAGCUCAUAAUUUGUAUAUUAUAAUGUUUCUUUUCCUCAGAAAAUAUACAUACUCGAAACCAUAGCAAGGUCAGACUGUGAACUCUGCAGAGAAAUACCAGGAUUCAGAGCUGCAACUUCUCGAGCUAAAAUUUGCUAUCUGAUCAAGGAACAUCUAGCAACAUUGUGUAACUCUUGUUAUGGGCAUCCAAUUCAGAUAUAGUUAACAAUCUUUCUAUAUGAAUCUUGCUCUUCUCAGAGAAACCACUAUUUGAACAGUGGAAUUGAGUUCAUGAUGGACAACAGCUUCUAUUUCGUUUUCUCAGAUGUUUGAUUCCUUUAAUUAUUGGAGUAUGUAGUUGGUGAUUGGGUGAUAACUCUCCCAGCUGGUGACUUGAUGUACAACUUACAUAUUUAUAAUAGAAUUUUUGAAACCACACUUCUUAGCCUUCCAAACUUAUGCUGGUGCAUGCGACAUGCUUGACUUGCUGGAAAGACUCCAGCUAUCAUAGGGAUUUGUACUUCAAACUAAUGAAGAUAAGCAUGAAUGUGUCUUCUCUAUUCUCUGCUACCUGCUCAAAUACAGGAUUUCUAAUGGAUAAGAGAAAGAGAGGAAUUGAAUCGUACUUCCAAAAACAAAGUGCCUGAAUAGAUGUUGGUGGUUCCCGUUCAUCUAAUCCUGAGGUUCCAAUUCCAACUGUAGAUGCAAUUGAAAAAAGUCCACAACAAGCAGAAGUCCCUUGUCCAGAACUUCCCUCGCUUAAAAUCACAAAGAUUGGCAAUGAAUCUGAUGAUAUUCGUGUAGAACGUGAUCCAGGUAAACGAAAAAUGAUUUGGGAAUAUCCUGUGAAUAAAAGAGAUGAAAUUCGUCGAGAAUAUUUGAUGCACGGUCCUUAUCAAGUUAUGGUGCCCAGCUCUCAAAGGCCGAUUGAUAAGUGUAGUAGAAGGUUUUUGAUUCUGUUCUUGUGGUACUUGGUGAGAUCAUAAAUGAUAAAAGUGCUGCUUCUAGAGCUGUAGCUGAUAAAGCUUAUGAUGUGAUGAUGUCCUUUGAAUUUGUAUUCGUCUUGCAUUUUCUUAUUGAUUUAUUGGGAAGAGCAAAUGAUCUUUGUAGAAUGUUGCAGUGCAUAUCCCAAGAUAUUGUUAAUGCAAUCGAUGCAGUAUCGAAUACAAAAGAGAUCAUCCAAAAGUUCCGAGAAAAUGGUUGGAGUGGGUUACUAGAAAAGGUGAAGAGGUUUUGUGAGCAGCGAGAUAUUGAAAUUCCUGACAUGAAUGGUGUGCGUCGAUCAAGUAGAGGUCGUGCUCCGAACAAUCCUGUCACGUGGGAGCACCAUUAUCGAGUCGACAUCUUCUAUGGAACAAUAGAUUGCAUAUUGCAGGGUUCGAUCCCUCUUGGGAGCGAAUUGAAGAUUGGGGAGAUAUAAGGCGGAUUUUGGUGAAUGGAGAGAUAAGGUGGUUCUUGGAGUGGAUGGGGGAACUAACUACUAACAUCUAACAUGACUUUGCCCGAUCAAAAAAAAAAAAAAUAGAUUGCAUAUUGCAAGAAUUGGGAUUUAGAUUCAAUGAAGAUGCAAUUGAGUUGUUAAAGUUGAGUUCAUCUUUGGAUCCACGACGUGGGUAUGAAUUGUUUAAUAUUGAUGAUAUUUGCAAGCUAGUUGAGAAGUACUAUCCGGCUGAUUUUUCAAGUCAAGAUAAGCUGCAUCUUAAGUAUCAACUCGAACUUUAUGAGCUUGACAUUCGAAAAAGUGCACAUUUUCAACAUGUUGAGACACUUCCUGAAUUAUGUCAACUAUUAUCAAAGACAGGUAAGUCAGCCAUUUACUAUCUUGUUGACAGGUUGAUUAGACUUAUUUUGACUCUUCCGGUUUCAACGGCAACAUCAGAACGUGCAUUCUCCGCCAUGAAAAUUGUGAAGACAAGGUUGCGGAAUAAAAUGGAAGAUGACUUCUUGUCUAGUUCUCUGAUAAUGUUUAUCGAGAGAGAAAUUGCUCAGAGCUUUGAUGUUGACUCAAUUAUAGAUGAGUUUGAUCUCAUGAAAACUCGUAGAUCGCAACUUAAAAUUGGUUGCAAGUGAAUCUGUAGUUUUAUUAUUUAUUUUGUAUAGUUAUAUAGCUUUUAAGAUACUUUUAUAAAUGAAGUUAUAUAUCCUUUUAUAUUUGA